AUACUUUACUGCCAGGGGAGAUAUGAUCAUGAAGGCGGGUUUUCCAGGGCAAGGCUUCUCCAUUGCACUCCAGAUGUGCUGACCCCUGUGAUUUCAUCUCAAAUGUGGGACAUUUAACUGCAUAAUUUGUGGUAGUGAGUUACUGUGUUCACACUUUCCCCUG
ensembl:snRNA U1 U1 spliceosomal RNA